rnacentral:pre_miRNA from 1 species
AGGCCUCGCUGCUCUCUAUGGCUUUUCAUUCCUAUGUGAUUCUAUGGUCACUCACAUAGGGAUGGGAGCCGUGGCGGACGGUGGGGGCA